rnacentral:rRNA from 1 species
GAUGAACGCUGGCGGCGUGCCUAAUACAUGCAAGUCGAGCGAACGGACGAGAAGCUUGCUUCUCUGAUGUUAGCGGCGGACGGGUGAGUAACACGUGGAUAACCUACCUAUAAGACUGGGAUAACUUCGGGAAACCGGAGCUAAUACCGGAUGAUAUUUUGAACCGCAUGGUUCAAAAGUGAAAGACGGUCUUGCUGUCACUUAUAGAUGGAUCCGCGCUGCAUUAGCUAGUUGGUAAGGUAACGGCUUACCAAGGCAACGAUGCAUAGCCGACCUGAGAGGGUGAUCGGCCACACUGGAACUGAGACACGGUCCAGACUCCUACGGGAGGCAUCAGUAGGGAAUCUUCCGCAAUGGGCGAAAGCCUGACGGAGCAACGCCGCGUGAGUGAUGAAGGUCUUCGGAUCGUAAAACUCUGUUAUUAGGGAAGAACAUAUGUGUAAGUAACUGUGCACAUCUUGACGGUACCUAAUCAGAAGGCCACGGCUAACUACGUG